CUUUGAAACAAUGGGUGGAGAUCAUAAUUACAACCAUGGAUUUUCAAAAGGAUCGGAGAAGGUAAAGCGUGAGAAUUACGUAUGUAUUUCAUUUAAUAAUCCUCUGACCUCUGUCAGAGCAUCCUGAGACUAAUGGAUAAAAACCCAUUGGCGUCUAGUCACUGAGCCACCCACUGGGCUCCAACUAAAAGCACAGGAGCUGGUCGUUCAAAGAAAGACCUGCUACAUCUGGUUCAAGGUUUCCGGUAUCUGAAGCACCAGAAACAGUGUUGCUGAGACUCUUCUAGGAUAUGCUGCUAUUGCCCAGAGUCAGAGAGAUGUUGUGCUGAUCCUGUGGCUGGGCGGGGCGUCCUGCGGCAGGAUCCUUGGGAGCUCCAGGCCAUUACAUACCUCUCCUCCCACGCACCAGCCAUCCCAGCAGCUAACCUGUAUGACCAUCUUGGGCAUCUCCACUGCCCACGCAGGGCAAACAGCACAAGCAGCAGGAGCACUGGCUCCAUGCUCCAGGGCAGGCCAGCUGUCCCAAACCUCCUGGCAGAUCCAGGCCCCGCCCUAGCAAAGACCUGUCCCCAGAGCUGCUCUCCCAUACUGAGCCCAUACCUUUCUUUUCCAGCUCCACUCUGCCGUCUUUUGUCCCACAAGACCUGCCCGCCCCUUUCCUUCGAGAGAUACUGAGUGCUCUGCAGACUCCUCCUCUGACCCCUCAUCUCCAUCUGUGUCUCUCAGGCUUCUCAGAGCUGCCAUGCAGUCCCGAGGGUGCUGGCAGCCCCCACCAUCCUGAAGGCUUAUCAAGACUUACAUAGCCUUCAACAGCCUUCCCUGUUCAGGAUCCAUUCGUACUGAUGUUUGUGACUUAAUGGAAUCCCUUCAUGUCUCAAAAGAAGUGACUCUUCCCUCGGGAUAAAGGGUCCGCCCUAGAAGACUAAUUAGGUUCAAUUGCUGUGAUGAAGACCAUGACCAAAAGCAACUUGGACAGGGAAAAAUGUGUUUGCCUUUCAUAUACUGGGCCAUUGAGAGAAACCAAGACAAAAGCCUAGAGACAGGAACUGAAGGAGAAGCUGCUUAAUGGCUAACUCCCCAUGGCUUGUUCAGACUGUUUUCUUGGAUCACCCAGGGCAACCUGCUCAAGGAUGGUGUCAUCUACAGUAAGCUGGACCUUCCCACAUCAGUCAUCAGUCAAGAAAAUGCCUCCAUAGACAUACACCGGGCCUGUGCAUAUUGUCAUAACCAUGACAGCUGUCCUGUUGUGUCAGGAGAACAUAGUUCCUUUGUAUUUACUUAUUGACUACCUCUUACUCUCCCAGACUUCCCUCCCCCUCUUCAGCAAUGAUCCAUGCACCUUGGGAAGAGAGGGUACAGCAUGGAUGUUUCAUUUAGGGGUGAACAUUCCACAGGCCCUAGUUCUCUGCACUUUGGCCAGUAUGUUGGUCUCUGACUGCUGUAAAUUUUUCUGAAGAGGGUUGAGAGAUACAUUAAUCUGUGUCUCCUGUCAUGUGGGCAGUAGAGCUGUUUGUUUCUGAGACAAGGUUAGAGAGGUGAAAUGGUACCAAAUAGAUGACAUUUGAACAAUAAUCAAAAAGAAGGAAGGGAAUGAACUAUUCUCAGCCUGCUCUGUAUGAUUCCAGUUAGUGGGUUAUGUUAGUAAGAAGAGUCAUGGGCUCGUGACAAUUGUGAAACUAUCCUAGUGUUACACUGAGUGAGGUUCUAGGUUCUGUAAAAUAUGAAUAUCUUGACUAAUACUGUCUAUGCAGGGCCAGGGAUGUAGAUGUAUGUAAUAGAACAAGUUUGUAAAACAAGUCAUUUCAUUUAUUUUCCUUUAUGAAUUUUAUUUUAUGUGAUGGGACAGAACAAAUUCCAGCCUGGAAAGGGAGGUGAGCUUUAAGGCCCAUCUGCAGCCCAGGAGCUCAGGGCAACUGAUAGCCACAGGAAGGAGGGAAGUCACCCUUCUUUCAGAGUGUUACCACUGGUAUGUCACCUGCACUCCAGUGGAAGGCCACAUAUCCAAGAAUAUAUGGAUGAUGCAAAUUGGA